GUAGGCGGUUUGUCGCGUCUGCUGUGAAAGCCCGGGGCUCAACCCCGGGUCUGCAGUGGGUACGGGCAGACUAGAGUGCAGUAGGGGAGACUGGAAUUCCUGGUGUAGCGGUGAAAUGCGCAGAUAUCAGGAGGAACACCGAUGGCGAAGGCAGGUCUCUGGGCUGUUACUGACGCUGAGGAGCGAAAGCAUGGGGAGCGAACAGGAUUAGAUACCCUGGUAGUCCAUGCCGUAAACGUUGGGCACUAGGUGUGGGGGACAUUCCACGUUCUCCGCGCCGUAGCUAACGCAUUAAGUGCCCCGCCUGGGGAGUACGGCCGCAAGGCUAAAACUCAAAGGAAUUGACGGGGGCCCGCACAAGCGGCGGAGCAUGCGGAUUAAUUCGAUGCAACGCGAAGAACCUUACCAAGGCUUGACAUCCGCCGGACCGCUCCAGAGAUGGGGUUUCCCUUCGGGGUCGGUGGACAGGUGGUGCAUGGUUGUCGUCAGCUCGUGUCGUGAGAUGUUGGGUUAAGUCCCGCAACGAGCGCAACCCUCGUUCCAUGUUGCCAGCGGGUUAUGCCGGGGACUCAUGGGAGACUGCCGGGGUCAACUCGGAGGAAGGUGGGGAUGACGUCAAAUCAUCAUGCCCCUUAUGUCUUGGGCUUCACGCAUGCUACAAUGGCCGGUACAAAGGGUUGCGAUACUGUGAGGUGGAGCUAAUCCCAAAAAGCCGGUCUCAGUUCGGAUUGAGGUCUGCAACUCGACCUCAUGAAGUCGGAGUCGCUAGUAAUCGCAGAUCAGCAACGCUGCGGUGAAUACGUUCCCGGGCCUUGUACACACCGCCCGUCAAGUCACGAAAGUUGGUAACACCCGAAGCCGGUGGCCUAACCCCUUUGGGGAGGGAGCCGUCGAAGGUGG
rnacentral:rRNA from 1 species